rnacentral:lncRNA from 1 species
GAUAGGACAUAGAUAAUGAUAUAUCUUAUCCUAAACCCGAUCUGAUAUUAAUUUAAAUCCUCUUUUCAAAUUUAUAAAUUUAUAAUUAUUGUAAAAUAUUUAUAUGAUAAAUUCUUUAUCCGAUCUGACCCUGCUUGUCUUGUUUACAUAAUCUGGCUUGACUACACCAUCUAUACCUUAUUCGAUCGGACUUGACUCGAUGCAAAUACAUGACAAAUAUGAAUAUAAAUUUUUUGCUUGCAUGUAAUAUAUAAAUAUUGAUAGAUCGGACGCAUGUUCAACCCUUUGCCAUCUUUAUAUAUGUCACCUCUUUUAACACAACAAUUCCCCUCCUAAAAACUCCUUAACUCCUUUCUUGUCGCUGCACCAUCAUCCCCAAGUUUCAUUAGAUAUUUGGAUCCAUGAUGAGCUAGCGGAGGAGAUCUAGUCAAUGAUGAGGGGCCAAUGGUAGAGAGGUGAGCAUGAGUGUGAUGAAGACAAUAUUAUAGAUGACAUUGGUAGUGUAUGAGACACUUCAAUUCAAACUCUUGACGGUGCUCUAGCAUGGAUGGACGAAGCAGGGCUAAUUAUAGA